rnacentral:lncRNA from 1 species
AGUGUAUUAAUAUAAUAAAAUCAGUUUGUAUUUAUUUAUAUAUAAACACGAAACAUUUAAAUAUAAAAGAACUUAAUGAGAUAGUAAUUAACUUAUUAAAAAUACAGAAGAAAUGCCCAUUUGACAUUACCAAUGAUACUAUUAAUAAAUUUAUUAAUGUAUUAUCUUAUCGCAUUUUUUUAUUCAACAGUAGAAAAGAAGAAAAGAGUAAACAAGGAUACAAUUACGACUUAACAUGUAAUGACAUAAACAACGACAAUAGUAUAGCUCAUAUAACUCAAAGCAUUGAAACGAAUUCUAUAAAAUCAUCAAAUCUUGUUAAUAAAAUAUAUGCACAUUGUGAGUGCUCUAUUAACAAUAGCAACACCCCUGUUCAUAAUAUAAAUUGUGAAAACGUAGCAGAAGGAAAUAGUAAUAGUGAAAAUAGCAGAACCUAUGAAAGGGGGAAGUUAAAAAAUGAUGUAAUACUUUUCAGUGACAUAACAAAGUUGUUAUAUCAAAUUAUUGUAUGGAAUAAUGGAAUAAAAAAUAACAAUGCUGUCCCUCGCAAAUGUAGUAACACUGUCGUAUCACCUGAAUGUAGUAAUAGUAUCGUCUCACUCGAAUGCAGGAACUUAAUAAAAAAUAUACUCAUUUUUUCAAAAAGAGAAAUGCAAAAAAAUAUAAAUAUUGUCAAUACUAUAGGGAGCAACAAUGAGACGAUAAAAAUAAAUAACAAAAUAUUAUGGCAAAACUGCAUAUCUUUAUUAUAUAGUUUAACUAUAAUAUACAAUAAAAGUUAUAACAAUGAGUAUAUAACCAUCUUCGAAUAUUUUAUUAAUCUUUUCUUUUGCCAUUUUAACGUUAACACAAAUAAUAAACUGAUGUUAAUGAAGUUUAAGGAUUUGCCUCAAUUGUUGGUAAAAAGAAAUAGUAGUGACGGUACUACUUUCAACAAUGAAGAUAACAAACUGAGUGAAGAACUGUAUGAGCAAGUAAUAAAAACUAGAAACUUUUUUUUGACCAGUUCCAAUGGAAAAAGUCAUACCUCUUUCAAUAAUAAUAAUAUACAUUCGUUUUUGUUUGUGUUGGGAUGUG